GACGAACGCUGGCGGCGUGCUUAACACAUGCAAGUCGAACGGAAAGGCCUCUUUCGGGGGUUGCUCGAGUGGCGAACGGGUGAGUAACACGUGAGUAACUUGCCCUUGACUUUGGGAUACCUUCAGGAAACUGGGGCUAUUACCGAAUAGGAGCUCCUGCUGCAUGGUGGGGGUUGGAAAGUUUUGGCGGUUGGGGGUGGACUCGCGGCUUAUCCGCUUGUUGGGGGGGAAGUGGCUUACCAAGGCUUUGACGGGUAGCCGGCCAGAGAGGGUGACCGGCCGUCCUGGGUCUUACGGAAGGCCCCGAUGCCGACGGGUGGAAGCAGGGGGGAAUAUUGAACCAGGGGUGGAAGCCGGGUGAAGAAAGGCUUUGUGUGGUAUAACAGCUUUAGGGGUGUAAAACGCUUUUGAUUUUGAACAAGCUUUGUGUGACGGUAGUGGGUAAAGAAGCACCGGCUAACUACGUG
rnacentral:rRNA from 1 species